GGAUUGCCUCAGUAACGGCGAGUGAAGCGGCAACAGCUCAAAUUUGAAAUCUGGCUCUUUCAGGGUCCGAGUUGUAAUUUGUAGAAGAUGCUUCGGGUGUGGCUCCGGUCUAAGUUCCUUGGAACAGGACGUCAUAGAGGGUGAGAAUCCCGUAUGUGACUGGGUGCCUUCGCUCAUGUGAAGCUCUUUCGACGAGUCGAGUUGUUUGGGAAUGCAGCUCAAAAUGGGUGGUAAAUUUCAUCUAAAGCUAAAUAUUGGCCAGAGACCGAUAGCGCACAAGUAGAGUGAUCGAAAGAUGAAAAGCACUUUGGAAAGAGAGUUAAACAGUACGUGAAAUUGUUGAAAGGGAAGCGCUUGCAACCAGACUUGCACGCGGUUGAUCAUCCGGUGUUCUCACCGGUGCACUCUGCCGCGUUCAGGCCAGCAUCGGUUUUGGUGGUUGGAUAAAGGCCUAGGGAAUGUAGCUUCUUUCGGGGAGUGUUAUAGCCCUAGGUGCAAUGCAGCCUACUGGGACCGAGGACCGCGCUUCGGCUAGGAUGCUGGCGUAAUGGUUGUAAGCGACCCGUCUUGAAACACGGACCAAGGAGUCUAACAUCUAUGCGAGUGUUUGGGUGUCAAACCCAUACGCGUAAUGAAAGUGAACGGAGGUGAGAACCCUUAAGGGUGCAUCAUCGACCGAUCCUGAUGUCUUCGGAUGGAUUUGAGUAAGAGCAUAGCUGUUGGGACCCGAAAGAUGGUGAACUAUGCGUGAAUAGGGUGAAGCCAGAGGAAACUCUGGUGGAGGCUCGCAGCGGUUCUGACGUGCAAAUCGAUCGUCAAAUUUGCGCAUAGGGGCGAAAGACUAAUCGAACCAUCUAGUA
rnacentral:rRNA from 1 species